rnacentral:rRNA from 1 species
ACCUUCGGGUCUGAGGCGAGUGGCGGACGGGUGAGUAACACGUGAGCAAUCUGUCCCUGUGUGGGGGACAACCCGGGGAAACUCGGGCUAAUACCGCAUGGGCAGGCACUUCAUAGGAAGAGCCUGGGAAAGAGGCCCUCUUUACAAUGGUCUCAUGCAGGGAGGAGCUCGCGGGCUAUCAGCUAGUUGGUAGUGGUAAUGGCCUACCAAGGCGACGACGGCUACGGGGUCUGAGAGGACGACCCCGCACAUUGGAACUGAGACACGGUCCAGACUCCUACGGGAGGCAGCAGUGGGGAAUUUUGGGCAAUGGCCGAAAGGCUGACCCAGCGACGCCGCGUGUGGGAUGACGCCUCUCGGGGUGUAAACCACUGUCAGAGGGGAAGAAUAGCGCAGUUGCGAAUAGUUGCUGCGUGUGACGGUACCCUCAAAGGAAGCACCGGCUAACUCCGUGCCAGCAGCCGCGGUAAUACGGAGGGUGCAAGCGUUGUUCGGAUUUACUGGGCGUAAAGCGCGCGCAGGUGGGUGAACAAGUCGGAAGUGAAAUCUUGAGGCUCAACCUCGAGGCUGCUCCCGAAACUGUUCGCCUAGGGACUGGUAGAGGCUGGUAGAAUUCCCGGUGUAGCGGUGGAAUGCGUAGAGAUCGGGAAGAAUACCUGUGGCGAAGGCGGCCAGCUGGGCCAGAUCCGACACUGAGGCGCGAAAGCGUGGGGAGCAAACAGGAUUAGAUACCCUGGUAGUCCACGCCGUAAACGAUGGGCACUAGGCGCUGGUGGGAGCGACCCCUUCAGUGCCGUAGCUAACGCGAUAAGUGCCCCGCCUGGGGAGUACGGCCGCAAGGCUG